GACGAACGCUGGCGGCGUGCUUAACACAUGCAAGUCGAACGGAAAGGCCCUGCUUUUGUGGGGUGCUCGAGUGGCGAACGGGUGAGUAACACGUGAGUAACCUGCCCUUGACUUUGGGAUAACUUCAGGAAACUGGGGCUAAUACCGGAUAGGAGCUCCUGCUGCAUGGUGGGGGUUGGAAAGUUUCGGCGGUUGGGGAUGGACUCGCGGCUUAUCAGCUUGUUGGUGGGGUAGUGGCUUACCAAGGCUUUGACGGGUAGCCGGCCUGAGAGGGUGACCGGCCACAUUGGGACUGAGAUACGGCACAGACUCCUACGGGAGGCAGCAGUGGGGAAUAGUGCAAAAUGGGCAGAAGCCUGAUGCAGCAACGCCGCGUGCGGGAUGACGGCCUUCGGGUUGUAAACCGCUUUCGCCUGUGACGAAGCGUGAGUGACGGUAAUGGGUAAAGAAGCACCGGCUAACUACGUG
rnacentral:rRNA from 1 species